AACGAACGCUGGCGGCAGGCUUAACACAUGCAAGUCGAACGCCACCUUCGGGUGGAGUGGCAGACGGGUGAGUAACGCGUGGGAACGUACCUUUUGCUUCGGAAUAUUCCCGGGAAACUGGGAGCAAUACCGAAUAAGCCCUGAGGGGGAAAGAUUUAUCGGCAAAAGAUCGGCCCGCGUUAGAUUAGGUAGUUGGUGGGGUAAUGGCCUACCAAGCCUACGAUCUAUAGCUGGUCUGAGAGGAUGAUCAGCCACAUUGGGACUGAGACACGGCCCAAACUCCUACGGGAGGCAGCAGUGGGGAAUAUUGGACAAUGGGCGCAAGCCUGAUCCAGCCAUGCCGCGUGAAUGAUGAAGGCCUUAGGGUUGUAAAAUUCUUUCAACGGGGACGAUAAUGACGGUACCCGUAGAAGAAGCCCCGGCUAACUUCGUGCCAGCCGCCGCCGUAACAC
rnacentral:rRNA from 1 species